GACGAACGCUGGCGGCGCGCCUAACACAUGCAAGUCGAACGAGCGCGAGAGAGCUUGCUUUCUCGAGCGAGUGGCGAACGGGUGAGUAACGCGUGAGCAACCGGCCUCAAAGAGGGGGACAACAGUUGGAAACGACUGCUAAUCCCGCAUCAGCCCACGGCUCGGCAUCGAGCAGGGGGAAAUGGAGCAGUACGGUUUGAGAUGGCCUCGCGUUCGAUUAGAUAGUUGGUGGGGUAACGGCCCCCCAAGGCGACCAUCGGUAGACGGACUGAGAGGUUGAACGGCCACAUUGGGACUGAGACACAGCCGAGAAUCCUACGGGAGGCAGCAGUGGGGAAUAUAGCAAAACGGGGGGAACCAUGAUGCAGCGACGCCGCGUGGAGGCAGAAGGUCUGCGAAAAAUAAACUCCUGUUGUUGGGGAAGAUAAUGACGGUACCCAACGAAGAAGUGACGGCUAACUACGUG
rnacentral:rRNA from 1 species